ACCCCAGCUUAGGCAAGGGUACCCGCUGAGUUUAAGCAUAUCAAUAAGCGGAGGAAAAG
rnacentral:rRNA from 1 species